rnacentral:rRNA from 1 species
AGGGAAUAUUGGUCAAUGGAUGCAAGUCUGAACCAGCCAUGCCGCGUGCAGGAAGAAGGCCUUCUGGGUUGUAAACUGCUUUUGUCAGGGGAUAAAAUGAGCAUGCGUGCUUAAUUGAAGGUACCUGGCGAAUAAGCCACGGCUACCUACGUGCCAGCAGUCGCGGUAAGACGUAGGUGGCGAACGUUAUCCGGAAUUAUUGGGCGUAAAGGGUGCGUAGAUGGUAUAAUAAGUUAUCAGCGGUAAAUCGGGGCUCAACCUCGUGGAAGUCGGUAAUACUGUUAUACUCGAGUGCAGAAGAGGUUAACGGAACUCCAUGUGGAGCGGUAAAAUGCGUAGAUAUAUGGAAGAACACCAAUAACGGCGAAGGCAGUUAACUAUUCUGUUACUGACAUUGAGGCACGAAAGCGUGGGGAGCAAA